rnacentral:rRNA from 1 species
UACGUAGGGUGCGAGCGUUGUCCGGAAUUAUUGGGCGUAAAGAGCUCGUAGGCGGUUUGUCACGUCGGAUGUGAAAACCCGGGGCUUAACUCCGGGCCUGCAUUCGAUACGGGCUGACUAGAGUAUGGCAGGGGAGACUGGAAUUCCUGGUGUAGCGGUGAAAUGCGCAGAUAUCAGGAGGAACACCGGUGGCGAAGGCGGGUCUCUGGGCCAAAACUGACGCUGAGGAGCGAAAGCGUGGGGAGCGAACAGG